rnacentral:rRNA from 1 species
AUGCAAUUACCAAAAUAUCACAGACAGCCCAGAUCAUCUGGAUUAACUAACAUAUUUCACUGCAUUUUGUGCAUUUUGUCCACUGAAAUUCAGAACAGUACUGCAUCUUGUGCAGACAGUGCCUCCCCGCAGCUGGUCCAGGCUUCCGGACGGCGUCUGACAGCAGCGACGCACGGACGUAUAUCGUGCCGGAAUCCUCCAGCAGCAUCUUGCGCUGCCGCCGACAGCCGCACCACCUGCGGCUCCAUUGUCGCCGUCCGCAGGGGCUCGAAAGACAGUGUCCCCUUCGGCCCCGCGACGGCGCUGCCCCCUUCUCCGUCCUCCCGCGCAGCCGCGGAGCACUAG